CUGUAACCAGGCAUGGCGACGAAGGGGGAUAGCCGUUGUGAUGGACCGUGAUUCUGAUUCUGCCAAGUGUUUCGCUGUGCUCAACUGCUGACAGGGGUAGUGCGACGUCGUCCAUAUUUGGAGGAAGUUGCGCAGUUGAUCACUAAGGAGUUCGGGACUGGAUGCUUAAAUAGAAACCAAGACAAAGGCAAAUCCCAAAGGAAGUUUCACAAUGGCGGUCAAGAAGGAACUGAGCUACGUAUCAUUCUGCCACUGAAGAUACUCAGCGUGCUCCACACACAGUCUAUUAGCACUUUGUGGAGCAUGGAUUUCUUCCGCAGGGACUACUGCACAGGUAAACAGCAACCAUGAGAAGAAUGUUCCUACAAAAUACAACCGCUUUACAGUUAAGGAUAUAAUUGUCUGAAGGAAAUGCGAAUUAAGUGAAGAGAAGAAAGAGAGAAAAAACAACACCCCAAAAGGACUGUAACUAGAGAAAGCAAAGACAACACCAAGCAAGCACAUUUGUUUAUUCAUUUAAAGAAGAAGAUGGCGACAAGAAAUCCCUUCUGCUUGCUAGAAAAUGCCCUACAGAACAUAACGUGCUUGUCCAUUUCCAGCAGAGCCCAAAACUCAAUUUAGCAGAGGUUGAAAUCUAAAGGAAGUAAAGUCAGUCAGUCUAGAAUUUGCAGUACCAUCAAGAUAAAAGAAGCAGAUCCAACUGCUGCCAGUGUAGCUACUUCUCCUUACAAUUUCCUCUAUUUAAACUGUACCGCAUUGUGCACAUCA